CUACGGGGGGCAGCAGUGAGGAAUAUUGCGCAAUGGGGGAAACCCUGACGCAGCGACGCCGCGUGGAUGAUGAAGGCCUUCGGGUUGUAAAAUCCUGUCAGAUGGGAAGAACUGUUACAUGUCUAAUAUAUGUGUAACCUGACGGUACCAUCAAAGGAAGCACCGGCUAACUCCGUGCCAGCAGCCGCGGUAAUACGGAGGGUGCAAGCGUUGUUCGGAAUUACUGGGCGUAAAGCGCGCGUAGGCGGCUAUGUAAGUCAGAUGUGAAAGCCCAUGGCUUAACCAUGGACGUGCAUUUGAUACUGCAUGGCUUGAGUACUGGAGGGGGUGGUGGAAUUCCCGGUGUAGAGGUGAAAUUCGUAGAUAUCGGGAGGAAUACCGGUGGCGAAGGCGACCACCUGGCCAGAUACUGACGCUGAGGUGCGAAAGCGUGGGGAGCAAACAGGAUUAGAUACCCGGGUAGUC
rnacentral:rRNA from 1 species